CAGACUGUGCAUCUGGAAUCUUUCUUGCUGCAGAAAAGUAUGCACCUUCCAAACGAUGGCAUAUAGACACAAUUAUGCGUGUUUUGACAACGGUAAGUCGCUUUUUUCAGACAGCAUAUACGAAGUGCUGGGAUAUACUGAUGUUAUCAUGAAGUUUAUGUUCUAGUCAGGGAGGUAAGAAAUUCACAAGUAAAUAGGUAACAUUAAUGUCAGGAAUAAAUGCCAUGAAGAAAAACCUAAAGCAGCAUGGAGGAAUAUAAUGAUGGCAGGAUAAGGUGGGAUAUAGGGCAACUGGCCAAGUGUUUUAGAUUAGAGUUAGUCAGGGAGGUCUCUCAGAGGAGAUAACAUUUG
rnacentral:sRNA from 1 species